UGCGGGGUGGAGCAGUCUGGCAGCUCGUCGGGCUCAUAACCCGAAGGUCGUAGGUGAGAAUACUACACCCGCUACCA
rnacentral:tRNA from 1 species